rnacentral:rRNA from 1 species
UACAGAGGGUGCGAGCGUUGUUCGGAAUUAUUGGGCGUAAAGGGCGCGUAGGCGGUGCGGUAAGUCACCUGUGAAAUCUCCUGGCUCAACUGGGGAAGUGCCUCCGAUACUGGCGGCCUCGAGGGGGAUAGGGGCAUGCGGAACUUCCGGUGGAGCGGUGAAAUGCGUAGAUAUCGGAAGGAACACCGGUGGCGAAAGCGGCGUGCUGGAUCCCUUCUGACGCUGAGGCGCGAAAGCCAGGGGAGCGGAACGGG